rnacentral:lncRNA from 1 species
ACAGCAACCUGUAUGCCAAGUAAACCCUUUCCUACACUAGUUGUUUGUGGUUGCUGUUUUAUUGCAACUGUAGGAAACAAAUUAGGGAAGAGACAGAAAUGCUUUUGAAGUGUGUUUGCAUUUUUAUUGAUUUUACUCUCUUAGAAAGACAGGCUUCUUUGAACAUAGGCACUUUCAAUUUUUUCUAACUCUAUGACCUACCUUGAUUUUAAGACAACAUCCCUACAACUAGGUCUGGCAUUUUACACCUUUAAUUAAAGCGAUUGGAAGGCAGGGCAGGCAGAUCUCUGAGUUUGAGGCCAGCUUUGUGUAUUAAGUAUCAGGACAGUGAGGGGAAUAAAAAAAAAAAACUAAACAAAACCUCUGCUUUGAAAAGAAACAAAUAAGCAAGAAAUGAAGAAAUAAAAAAAGAAAGAGAAAAAGAGGAAAAGAAAACAAGGACAGGAUCAAAUCGUCACUUUCCAAGUUUAUAUACAUGAGAUCCUGUAAAGCAUGUGAAUUAGUUAUACAUUCUUAUACUUAGGACAUCUAGCAGAAUAUUUGCAUAUGUUCCCAUUACUCUUUAGAUAUAUUGUCCUGGAUUCUUCUGUAGACAGUUUCAAGAGUCUCUGAACAGAAAGCUACAGGACAUGUCUCUGAUUAAUCUUUAUUCGGUGCUUCCUGUGGCUUUAAAGUCCUCUCCACAGGAAGCAGGAUGACCCAGCACAUCCUCUGACCAAUUCAGAGAUGCUCUAUUCCAGGGACAGAAACAGUUUUUCAUGUUCCUCCACCCUUCUUCAUACUCAUAACAAAAAGUUAUUGUGUUGAGUUAGUCAUAGGCUAUGUACAAGUAUUUAAAGACUUUUGCUAGGUCCUAUGCUUUUAUCUUCAACCUUAGAACAAUUGUUUGCAGUUUGCGAAGAAGAAAGGAAGAGAAAUACUUUCUCAUCUGAACCCAAUAGAGCAGUUACAGACCUGCAAACAAUCCAUUAUGGAUUAUAUGGAAUAAACAGGGUUAAUAAUUUUCACCCACUGUAAUAUUGUUGAGCCUUUCUUAGAAAUUUUCAGUUAUUCAUAUUUAAAUUAUUUUAUCGUAAAUCACAUUUUUCCUUUAUAUUUAAGCAUACUGUUUAAGAAUUGAUCCUAUUUUUUUUUCCUAAAUGAACUCUGAAUGGUCUGUGAAUGCCUGAAGUCAAAAUUAAGUCUUACCUCCACAGCAUGUGAACAUAUUUACAAAUACCAUAUUUGAGUGAAAAAGUACAAAUCUAACUUGAAUAUCAUUUAAUGUAUAUCCACUACAGUUCUGAAUAAAUACUUAAAUCUUAUAGUUCAUUUUCUCUCUCUAUCUCUCUCUGUCUCUCUCUCUGUCUCUCUCUGUCUCUCUCUCUGUCUCUCUCUCUCUCUCUCUCUCUCUCUCUCUCUCUGUGUGUGUAUGUGUGUGUGUGUGUGUGUGUGUGUGUGUUUGUGUGUGUGUGUGUGCAUGUGUGUGUGUGUAGAGGUGGUUCUAUCUUUCUUUCUUUCUGUCUGCCUGCCUGUAUGUUUGAGAGGAGUAAGACACCACUUAGGAUCAAACACAUGGUGUUUUAGACAUUAGGUUCUGGUGUUGGCUACUUUUAUACCAACUUGACACAAGUUAAAUUCAUCUGAGACAAGGGAACUUCAAUUGAGAAAAUGCCUCCAAAAUAUUGAAGUUUAGGCAAGCCUGUAGCACAUUUUCUUAGUGAUUGAUGGAGAAGGGCCCAGCCUAUUAAGAGUGGGCUUAUCCCUCAUUUAAUGGUCCAGAGUUCUAUAAGAAAGGAGGCUGAGCAAGCCCUGAAUAACAAGCCAGUUAGCAAGCCUCAUUCACGGUCUCUGCAUCCGUUCCUGCCUUUCGGUUCCUUCUAUGUUUGAGUUUCUUUCCUGGCUUCCCUCUAUGAUAGACUACAAUGCAGAAGUAUAAUACAAAUAAACCAUUUUCUUUCCAAGUUGCUCUUUGGUCAUGGUAAUUCAUUGCUGGAAUACAAACCCUAGGACAGUUCCUCUUCUACUCCUAGUCUAUAGGCUGUUCACUCUCAAAUAUCUGCACACUUGCUUACAUCUUUCUCCCUUUACUCAUCAAUAAAAAAUUUUAUAUGAGUACACAAGUGUGCCAUUAGACCCUUUCAGGAAGAGAAUGGAUUUUAUAUUUAUAAUCCUGUAGCAUAAGAAUUAUGGCCAAAAUGAUGUGUUCAAGUAAAAUUUACAACAGCAACAACAAACAAACAAAC